AUGGUCACAGAACAUCAAAGCAAGCAGAGGGGGGCUGAUACUAAACCAACAGUCUCCCUCUUUGCACCUUCUGAGCAACAGUUACAGACAUCAAGUGUCUCUUUAGUGUGCUUGGUGAAUCACUUCUACCCCAAAGACGCCAAGGUGACGUGGAAGAUGGACGGUGUCACCCAAACGAGUGACAUCCAGAACAGCUUCACGGAGCAGGAUAGCAAAGACAGCACCUACAGUCUCAGUAGCAUUCUGAAUAUACCGACAUCCACCUACAACAGCCAUAACACCUACUCCUGUGAGGUCAGCCAUAAAACGCUGGCCUCCCCGCACAUCGAGACCUUCAACAAGGAUUCAUGUUAG